GUAAAAUUGGGAAAGGUGUGUAAAAUUGGGAAAGGUGUGUAUACUCAAAAGGUGUGUAGCAUAGAAAGGUGUGUAUAUUCAAAAGGUGUGUAAAAUUGGGAAAGGUGUGUAAAAUUGGGAAAGGUGUGUAAAAUUGGGAAAGGUGUGUAAAAUUGGGAAAGGUGUGUAUACUCAAAAGGUGUGUAGCAUAGAAAGGUGUGUAUAUUCAAAAGGCCAGGUGUGUAAAAUUGGGAAAGGUGUGUAUACUCAAAAGGUGUGUAGCAUAGAAAGGUGUGUAUAUUCAAAAGGUGUGUAAAAUUGGGAAAGGUGUGUAAAAUUGGGAAAGGUGUGUAUACUCAAAAGGUGUGUAGCAUAGAAAGGUGUGUAUAUUCAAAAGGUGUGUAAAAUUGAGAAAGGUGUGUAUAUUCAAAAGGUGUGUAAACUUGAGAAAGGUGUGUAUAUUCAAAAGGUGUGUAAAAUUGAGAAAGGUGUGUAUAUUCAAAAGGUGUGUAAAAGUGAGAAAAGUGUAUAGGGUGGAAAGGUGUGUAAUCAGUAAAGGUGUGUUUUUGCGUAAAAGAUGUGUAAAAUAACACACCUUUAAUAAGUACAAGCAAGGUGUGUAAUACAAAGGUGUGUAAUUUUACACACCCAAUGGUGUGUAAUCGUACACACCUAAGGUGUGUAAUGAUGUAUACAAGGUGUGUAUAAUUACACACCUUGGCUUCCAUAUUGCAAAAGAUGUGUAAUUAUACACACCUUUUUUCGAAAAGGUGUGUAUUUAUACACAAUUUGGUGUGUAAA